UACAGGAGGUCCCAAGCGUUUGUUCGGAUUCACUGGGCGUAAAGGGUGCGUAGGUGGUUAGGUAAGUCCGAUGUGAAAUCUCCAGGCUCAACUGGGAGGGUGCGCCGAAUACUGAAUGACUUGGAGUGCGGGAGAGGAAAGUGGAAUUCCUGGUGUAGCGGUGAAAUGCGUAGAUAUCAGGAGGAACACCGGUGGUGUAGACGGCUUUCUGGACCGUAACUGACGCUGAGACACGAAAGCGUGGGUAGCAAACAGG
rnacentral:rRNA from 1 species